UACGUAGGCAGCAAGCGUUGUUCGGAGUUACUGGGCGUAAAGAGUGCGUAGGUGGUUCUCUAAGUUCGGUGUGAAAUCUCCCGGCUCAACUGGGAGGGUGCGCCGAAAACUGGAGAGCUUGAGUAUGGGAGAGGAGAGCGGAAUUCCUGGUGUAGCGGUGAAAUGCGUAGAUAUCAGGAGGAACACCAGUGGCGAAGGCGACUUUCUGGACUGUACCUGACGCUGAGGCGCGAAAGCAUGGGGAGCAAACGGGAUUAGAUACCCCGGUAGUCCAUGCCGUAAACGACGAAUACUAGGUGUAGGAGGUAUCGACCCCUUCUGUGCCGCAGUUAACACAAUAAGUAUUCCGCCUGGGGAGUACGGCCGCAAGGUUGAA
rnacentral:rRNA from 1 species